UACAUGUGGGGCAAGCGUUGUUCGGAAUUACUGGGCAUAAAGGGUGCGUAGGUGGCAUGUUAAGUCACGGGUGAAAGUCUGCGGCCCAACCGUAGAAUCGCCUGUGAUACUGGCGUGCUUGAGUGCGUAAGGGGUAACCGGAACGAGCAGUGUAGCGGUGAAAUGCGUAGAUAUUGCUCGGAAGGCCAGAGGCGAAGGCGGGUUACUGGUGCGCAACUGACACUGAGGCACGAAAGCGUGGGGAGCAAACAGGAUUAGAUACCCUGGUAGUCCACGCCGUAAACGAUGAGCACUAGGUGGGUGGUGAGCUAUCGCUGCCUGCCGGAGACAAUUUGGUAAGUGCUCCGCCUGGGGAGUAUGGUCGCAAGGCUG
rnacentral:rRNA from 1 species